GGCACCAGGAAGGAGAGAGGAGAGAGAGAGAGAGAGAGAGAGAGAGAGAGAGAGAAUGAAUAUGNUCUCUUACUCCCCUCUCUCUCCCCCUCCCCUCUCUCCUCCCCCUUCUCAUCUCUCUUCCCUCCUCCUCUCUCUCUCUCUCUUCCCUCCUCCUCUCUCUCUCUCUCUUCCC
rnacentral:sRNA from 1 species